CUCGUACUCCCUCCGUCCAACAAAAGAUGUCUUAAAUUUGUCAAAAUUUGGAUGUAUUUAGAUAUGACUUAGUUAGUGUAUAGAUGCAUACAAAUUUAGUCAAAGUUGACACUUUGUUAGACGGAAGAAGUACGGA
rnacentral:pre_miRNA from 1 species